rnacentral:rRNA from 1 species
AUGAAGGCCUUCGGGUUGUAAAGCACUUUUGGCAGGAAAGAAACGUCGCGGGUUAAUACCCCGCGGAACUGACGGUACCUGCAGAAUAAGCACCGGCUAACUACGUGCCAGCAGCCGCGGUAAUACGUAGGGUGCAAGCGUUAAUCGGAAUUACUGGGCGUAAAGCGUGCGCAGGCGGUUCGGAAAGAAAGAUGUGAAAUCCCAGAGCUUAACUUUGGAACUGCAUUUUUAACUACCGGGCUAGAGUGUGUCAGAGGGAGGUGGAAUUCCGCGUGUAGCAGUGAAAUGCGUAGAUAUGCGGAGGAACACCGAUGGCGAAGGCAGCCUCCUGGGAUAACACUGACGCUCAUGCACGAAAGCGUGGGGAGCAAACAGGAUUAGAUACCCUGGUAGUCCACGCCCUAAACGAUGUCAACUAGCUGUUGGGGUCUUCGGACCUUGGUAGCGCAGCUAACGCGUGAAGUUGACCGCCUGGGGAGUACGGUCGCAAGAUUAAAACUC